rnacentral:misc_RNA from 1 species
GGAAGGAUCAUUACAAAGUAUCCGGCUCCGGCCGCCAACCACUGCUUGCGGCGGCUUAACCGCCGUCGUGAGACAGUUUACCCCUUGUGAAAACCUUUGUUGCUUCGGCAGCGCCUCCCCGUCCGCGGGGGGGGUUAGCCUGCCGGCGGCACCAUGGAAACUCAUUUUGAAAAUUUGUAUCACAACGUCUGACAGCGCAGUCGAAUGACGCAUAAAACUUUCAACAACGGAUCUCUUGGUUCCCGCAUCGAUGAAGAACGCAGCGAAACGCGAUAGUUAAUGUGAAUUGCAGAAUUCAGUGAAUCAUCGAGUCUUUGAACGCACAUUGCGCCUUUUGGUAUUCCGAGAGGCACGUCUGUUUGAGCGUCAGCGAAACCCUUCCGGUCCCCGGUUUUUGUGCCGGGAACGCGGGCAUGCUGGCGUAGGGGUUGCGGCCGCCGCGCUUCGGUGCGAACGGGCCCUCCCCCGCUUAAACGUGGAAGCUUGCGGGCGCUGACCCGGAUUGCGACGACUCGUAAGUCUUACCGUCGAACGCGUCCGUCCAGCCCCGCCCACAAACGAAGGGGACCUGUUCCCCUGAAUCUUGACCUCAAAUCAGACGAGGAUACCCGCUGAACUUAAGCAUAUCAAUAAGCGGAGGAAAAGAAACCAACAGGGAUUGCCUCAGUAGCGGCGAGUGAAGCGGCAAGAGCUCAGAUUUGAAAUCCGGCACGGUUCCCGCGCCCGAGUUGUAAUCUGGAGAGGAUGAUCCGGCGAGGUCGGCCGCCCAAGUUCCUUGGAACAGGACGUCUCAGAGGGUGAGAACCCCGUAUCCGGCGGCCCGGUCGAGCCAUGUGGAUCUCCUUCGACGAGUCGAGUUGUUUGGGAAUGCAGCUCAAACUGGGUGGUAAAUUCCAUCUAAAGCUAAAUAUUGGCGGGAGACCGAUAGCGCACAAGUAGAGUGAUCGAAAGAUGAAAAGCACUUUGAAAAGAGAGUUAAAAAGUACGUGAAAUUGUUGAAAGGGAAGCGCUUGCCAUCAGAACAGGCGUCGGUCGAUCAGCGUUCCUUCUGGUUCGUGCACUCGGCCGGCUGCCUUGCCAGCAUCGGUUGCCGCGGCGGGACAAAGACGGCGGGAAAGUGGCUCCCUUCGGGGAGUGUUACAGCCCGCCGUGCCAUGCCGCCAGCGACGACCGAGGACCGCGCUUUUGCAAGGAUGCUGGCCUAAUGGUUGUAAGCGACCCGUCUUGAAACACGGACCAAGGAGUCUAACAUCUACGCGAGUGUUCGGGUGUCAAACCCGCGCGCGGAAUGAAAGUGAACGGAGGUGAGAGCCUUUACCGGUGCAUCAUCGACCGAUCCUGAUGUCUUCGGAUGGAUUUGAGUAGGAGCGUAGCUGUUGGGACCCGAAAGAUGGUGAACUAUGCCUGAAUAGGGUGAAGCCAGAGGAAACUCUGGUGGAGGCUCGCAGCGGUUCUGACGUGCAAAUCGAUCGUCAAAUUUGGGUAUAGGGGCGAAAGACUAAUCGAACCAUCUAGUAGCUGGUUCCUGC